CGUACACUCCUGCGGGAGGCAGCAGUGGGGAAUAUUGCACAAUGGGCGCAAGCCUGAUGCAGCGACGCCGCGUGGGGGAUGAAGGCCUUCGGGUUGUAAACUCCUUUCGCUAGGGACGAAGCUUUUUUGUGACGGUACCUAGAUAAGAAGCACCGGCUAACUACGUGCCAGCAGCCGCGGUAAUACGUAGGGUGCGAGCGUUGUCCGGAAUUACUGGGCGUAAAGGGCUCGUAGGUGGUUUGUCGCGUCGUCUGUGAAAUUCUGGGGCUUAACUCCGGGCGUGCAGGCGAUACGGGCAUAACUUGAGUGCUGUAGGGGUAACUGGAAUUCCUGGUGUAGCGGUGAAAUGCGCAGAUAUCAGGAGGAACACCGAUGGCGAAGGCAGGUUACUGGGCAGUUACUGACGCUGAGGAGCGAAAGCAUGGGUAGCGAACAGGAUUAGAUACCCUAGUAGUCCC
rnacentral:rRNA from 1 species